GUUCCAACGGUCUACAACCAGUCACCUUACCAUUAUUACCGCCAAGUUUCUCUCUCUUUCGCUCACCUUGUAACUUUUUCUUUCUCUCUCUUUAAUCCUGAUCGUCGAUUUCCUUUUGCACACUUGUCGUCUUCUGAGUGGUGCAAUACCUCCAAUUGUUUCCGAUUCGUCUCGCCUGUCUAGUGCAAUCUCCAAUUCUCCACGAUUCAUCUCGCCUGCCUAUCUUCACUUUCUCUCACACUUCACAUUCCUAGGGUUUCUGCGCUCAAAUUCUUCCUGUAAAUUGCCUGUGUGCCUGUGUUUGAGGUCUUAAUUCAAUGAAGACGUCUAAUCGAAUAAAAGAAGAAGAGAGAAUCGAAGGGAUAAUUCGAGGUCUCAUGAAGCGUCCGGAGAAUCGGACAUGUAUCAAUUGCAAUAGUUUGGGACCACAAUAUGUUUGCACAACAUUCUUGACUUUUGUUUGCACAAACUGCAGUGGAGUUCAUCGGGAAUUCACACAUCGCGUGAAAUCAAUAUCAAUGGCUAAAUUUAGUGCAGAAGAAGUUAGUGCCCUUCAAGCAGCAGGGAAUGAGAGAGCAAGGCAAAUUUAUUUAAAGGGGUGGGAUCCUCACCGUAAUUCUUAUCCUGACGGCAGUAAUCUUCGCAAACUUCGGGAUUUUAUCAAGCACGUCUAUGUGGAUAGAAAGUACACCGGUGAGAACAGUGGCACACUUCCAAGGCUGAGAUUGGGUGAAAAUGAGGAUGCCUAUGAAAGCGGCUGGAAGGUUAGUAGGUAUCGUAUUGAAUCUAAAAGUCCACGUUAUGAGAUCAGAUAUGAACUUUCUUCUAGUGAAAGAUCUCAUUCUGGUAGAAGAAGUAAUGACAGAAAUUCGGGAUAUCUUUCCGAUGAUAGAAGUCCUCGAUAUAACCCAGAAAAUUCAAGAUUUGGAGGUUACCAAAAAUCCCCUGUCCGCAUUGAGAUUGUCGAUAAUAGGUUUCGAGAUGUCACAUCUCCAAGUGGCAGACAAACUGGCAGCCGUAACUUUACAAAUGGAGAUGAGAGGUCUGGGAGCGGGUCUCCUGACAGUCAAACAAUCAAGAAUAGCUCCAACGCCUUGGGGCCACGUUCAAAAGCAACUGAUGGCAAGGAUCCUGAAGGUUCUGCUAACAGUCAGAAGAUUGCACUGUCUCGUGAUCUGCUUAGUGAUGCUAAUCCAGAGGAAAAUGCACCCUCCAGUAGUCUGGUUCCUGUUGAUGGGAAUCCGGUGGAACAUCAUAAAAAGAAUUCAGAAAGCUUGAUCAAUUUCAGCGAAGAUCCAGAGCCUCCUGAUGCUUCCUUAGCAGCACCACAAACACAGCAAAUUACUCCUAGUGAUCCCGGGAACCAGCCAUCAAAUGAACCUUCCUCGAAGGAGACAACAAAGACAUCCCCAAUGCCGAAUACUUUGGAAUUUCUAAUUUUUGAAUUGUCAGCUCCCCUGGCUGCACAAAACAAUGAUGAUGCUCCUUCAACUGUAUCUGCGAGCAACAUUCCUGAAGGUGGUGUGUCGUCUGUUGUGCCUUCAAUGGGUGACCUUUUGGCUUCUGCACCUGCAUCAACUACCAAUAUGGCUUUGCAACCAUAUGGGAUUUCUGUUGCUUCAUCAGCUUUUCCAUUAGGACAGAUGUCAACAGUACCCAGUAGUUUUGGCGCUUCUCCAACUGCCUCUACUGCUAAUAUGUUGGUGCAUCCAUCUGAAGGAAACAUGGCCGUGAGUGGUGUUUCACCAGCUCCACCUUCAGAAAAGAUGGCAUUAGUUAGUGUUAGUGACUCUCUAACUGCUUCAUCCAACAGCACUGUGCCAGUUGCUCCUUUGCUUGCAGGUUCUCCACAGGCAGCACCUGAUAUUAAUGUUGAACCUACUCUCAAAGUUCCUGAUGGGCAACAAUUGAGCAGCAUGCAGCUAUAUCAGCCUAUGCCAUCCUCUGAUACGGAUAAUAGAAGUUCUGCACAGCAGACUGCUACCCCUGUUGAAGAUGUAAAUAACCAGCUAUCGUUAUCAGCACUCGUCCCUUACAGUCAAGGACCUUCUGGGGAUUCCGCUGAACAGUCAUCUGAAACUGUCUCACGAGCAGUCCAAGACACCACUUCCAAAGUUGGAUCUAAGCUUGUUCAUGUGGAAUCAAAGUCUACUGGAAGAAAGGAAUUACCAGCGGACCUUUUUACUGCAAGCUAUGGACCUGCACCAGUUCCUCAUUGGCAAACUGUUAACACUCAUUCGAUGGGAUACGGAAUGCAGCAGUAUUCUAAUCCAAUGAUUAUGCCAGUUUAUCCCAUUCAAUCAAGAUCCACAAACCCAUUUGACGUUCACAGUGAAACAGCUCAAACGCAAGUGCCAGCAUUUCCAUCUAUGGCGUCUCUGCAAGGAUCACUUCCUAACGCAGGCUUACUGCAUACAUCAAAUGCUGGUGCUCAUUCUCUGGGGUUAAUGUUGCCACAAUCAUCAUCUUAUGCAUCCGCAGUGCACCCAAAAUCCAGCUCAUUUUCAUCAAAUAUGUCUCCAAGCGCAUUCAUGGGGCAACAAGUACAUACAAAUAUGGCAUCUUCAAGACCACAAGGAGUUAAUGGUUUUGGCAGUGAUUUUACUGUUUUGGGCUCCUCAAUCACACCACGGCUACCAACAGGCGGAUACUCUUUACCUAGCACCACAAAUUCUUUUUCUUCGAUGGGAGGAAAUCCAUUCGGAUAGUGGAUUAGAAAGAAUACAGUUUCUUACAAUCUAGUGUCAGUACUGUUUAGGACUCCGAGCAUCUGUAGGAAGUGGCUCAUCUUUGAUAUGGUUGGCAAACAAACGAAAUCAGAUCACUGAAUUGGUGGUAUAUAUCUUCUAAACUCCAGCCAAAAGGAAAAGAACAUUUCAAAAGACAGCAAGAAGCAUUGAAGUUAUCAUUGCAAACCCAGCUACUGUCAAAGUUCAUGAUUGUUCGACAUGAAUGAACACUCUGAACAUGAGAGGAGGCAGAGAUAAAGUGUCGAUCGAGUAGGAUCCAGAAAUGUGAAGUAUUUUAUUUUAGAGUUGAUGAUAGAUAACAAGGGACCAAGCAGGGACUACACAAGUUCUCAAAACAGCUAAUGAAUCAGCCAUGUAUCUGGAUUUGCUUGGAGAAUUUGACGGAGUUUCUGGUGAAAUCUGGGUAGUUUGGCUAUUUGGGAUUUGCUGGUUCUGGAAGUCCAUGGUAGACAUUUGAAAGUAGUGGAGAAUGUAAAGGAAAGAGGUUUGUUUUUAUACUUCCUAACAAAGUGAAUGUGUGCCGUUAAUUGUGGCGAAUCGAUUCUUCUCUAAUAGAUCAAGAACCCUUAUUAAUCAUCAAAAAGCGAAUUCAUUCCCAAAGAAUAGGCAAUCCUUAAUAUUCCAA